CUGAUACUCCCUCCGUCCAGAAAUACUUGUCCUAAAAAUGGAUGUAUCUAAACUUAUUUUAGUUAUAGAUACAUCUAUUUUAUCCAUUUUGAGGACAAGUAUUUUCGAACGGAGGGAGUAUUAG
rnacentral:pre_miRNA from 1 species